UCGCUUUCCCUGCCUUCUGCUCGUGUACGACCGACAUCGGGGUCAGCCCGUCACGUCGCAAUACAUAUACCAACCAUGAUAUAGCAACCAUCAAAGAUCGCAUUUGACAGUUAUGGCAAAGACCCACACCCUCCGCGCGUUCCAAGACGUGACGGUCGCCGACGAGAAAAAUCGUAUCGAUUGAAUCAGCGUCUCGGGGCCAUGGGAGGAUACCGGAGAUCGAUAUGACGGCAGCGGUGCCUUGGCGCUUCUGCACGAUUGCGCGGCCCGCGACCCCCGGGGUGCCGCGUCCAUCAAACAGGGAGAGUUAA
rnacentral:ncRNA from 21 species